AAGACAGGUAAUCGCAGCUGCGUAUGCCGAAAGGCUGCAGGUGAGGAAAGUCCGGGCUUCACAGGGCAGGAUGCCGGAUAACGUCCGGUGGAGGCGACUCCAAGGCCAGUGCAACAGAGAUAUACCGCGUUUGCAAUGAGCCAUGCGCCAUACCCAUUUGGCGGCGUGUAAAGUUAUUUACAUACGAUGCCAAAUGGCGUGUGGCUCAUUGCAAACGUAAGGGUGGAAAGGCAGUGUAAGAGACUACCGCCCUGUUGGUAACAACAGGGGCACAUGUAAACCCCAUCCGAAGCAAGACCGGAAAAAGACAAUGUGGCGGCCCGUCACGUCUUAGGUAGGUUGCUGGAACCUGCCGGUAACGGCAGGUCUAGAUAGAUGAUUACCCAACGACAUAACCCGGCUUAUCGUCUUGCUUGU
rnacentral:RNase_P_RNA from 1 species